rnacentral:tRNA from 1 species
CCGGUAGUUCAGUUGGUUAGAAUGCCAGCCUGUCACGCUGGAGGUCGAGGGUUCGAACCCCUUCCG